GCUUGCUUAGGCAGGAUAUAUACUAAAAUUGGAACGAUACACAGAGAAGAUUAGCAUGACCCCUACACAAGGAUGAUACACAAAUUUGUGAAGCGUUCCAUAUUAAA